rnacentral:misc_RNA from 1 species
GAAUUUUCGAACAGAAUUAUUUUGAUUUGAUUCAGUUCAGUUUGGUUUAUAAAUUUAUAUGAAAUUUGGUUUUUGGUUUAUUCAGGUCGCGGUUCGAUUUUGAAUUGACCCGACUCAAUGAUUAACCCCACCCAUUUGGACAAAUAAAAAAAAAAAAAAGAGGAAGGCUACGUAAUAAUGGUCAUCACAAUUAAGUGAGGGGCCUAAUGACUGUUACAGAUGCAUUUUUUCCUAUAUAUAACGGGGAUAAUGCCACAUGGGCCUUAAAAACUUGUACAUAAUGGCCGUUACGAUAUUUAGCUGCUAUUAUUUUAAAACCAUGGAUGGAAACCUCUGUGCCAUUGAAAACACUCGUAUUCAGUUAACACUAAAUAUUUUUCCUAAACAAGAAACUGUAGCUUGGUUGGCCAAUUGUUUUUCCUGGGUAGGCUUCAAUGCCUGCCAUACUUUAAUUUGAACAAGAAUUGCUUUCUGAAGUUUUUACAGAGGUCUGAUUGCUCCCUGGAUAUGUAAAUGUACAUAGGUGGAUUACUUGCUGACGAUGUGAAAAUUUUUUGAAUAGAUACAAAGUUCAUUAGCACAAGAUAGUACUGAUGAAUGCUUCUUGGAAAGGGAUUGUGGUACUCUUGCAGUUUGCACUGCAUACUUGUUUGAUGUGUUUACUUAGGUCUUGGGCUAAAGAUUUUUAGCGAAUGUAUAUUUUAAAGCUAAUCAUCAAAUGACUGGAUGAACUUGCCUAGAGUGAAGCACAUUAAGUAUACAACAUUUAAUGUUAUAUUGAUUUAGCCUUCUGAAUAGAGAUUCCAUGUAAAUAGCACCAUGGAACUCUUUUUUUUAAUCUUUUUUUAUGAACCCUCAAUGCAGAUUGGCCGGUCUAAGUGGAAUGG